UACGUAGGGUGCGAGCGUUGUCCGGAAUUACUGGGCGUAAAGGGCGCGUAGGCGGUCCUGAUCGUCGGAUGUGAAAGGCCUGGGCUCAACCUGGGAAUGGCAUCCGAUACGGCGGGACUGGAGUGUGGGAGAGGUUGGUGGAAUUCCCAGUGUAGAGGUGAAAUUCGUAGAUAUUGGGAAGAACACCGGUGGCGAAGGCGGCCAACUGGACCACAACUGACGCUGAGGCGCGAAAGCGUGGGGAGCAAACAGG
rnacentral:rRNA from 1 species